CAACUUUGUGUGCAGGGGUUUUAAACCUGAAACCACACAGUUCAACACAAUGCAGGUUAGACCUGUUUGACAGAUGACACUAAGUAAUUCUCCUUUAUGAAAGAGGAGAAACACAUAAAAACUCAAAUCUAACGCAGAGUGAGGUGAGUUAUUCUGAGUAAAGAUUAAAUAAAAGUACAUCAAUUCAAAGGGAAAUGUAGGGUAAUCUUAUCUUCCCACAUCUUAGCUGAGGUAACAGACACUCAUCAUCCUCUGCCUAUUUUCAUGACUUUUUCCAUGAGUUAAUGACUGAGAUUUUUUACAAUGUUUAAAUUGUACAAUGUUCCCGACUGCUGCAUUAUAACGUGUUAUGGAUCCAUAACACAUAUUAUCAUCUAAUGUUGUAGACCUUGUAUCAACUUAAGUUAUAUUGGAUAUUACCGGUUUUGAACUUUAAUUUGCCAUUUAUAUUAUGGCCUGCAGGCCUCAUUGAGCUGAGCUCAUGCAAGUCAGAAGGGGGAAAAUACUAUUGGGGAAAGGUUCCAGUGGGGGCUGGCAUAGACAUGAAGAGGGGGAGUGGGGUGUGUUUGUGUGUGAAUGUUGUACAGAAGCACAGAUACAGUACAGUCCAUCUGAUCACAAGUCCAUUUUAUACACUGACCAUGGCAUUUUCUCACCCAUUCAUUUUGUAAUGACCGGUAUUUUUUUUUUGUUUUUUUACCGGGAAUAGACAUGGAUGUUCUAAAGUUAAAUGAAACACCCAAUUGUUCUUCUCAAUUCCCGCUCUUUACAAUUUCAACAGACUUUAACAACCUUUUCUGUUUCCAAGUGUAGCUAAGAAUAAAUGUAGAAAUGGACUCUAUCCUCAUAGUGGAGGUUUAAUGAAAAUGUGUUCUAAUGGAAUUAACUGAGGUUUUGCAGAUGGGAUUAAUAUCAUUAAAGCUGUCAGUAUCUUGGAAGGGAGGCCAACAUUUCCAGUCAAGACGGCUGUCACUGCUGAAGAGAAGAAGAAAAUGGAGGAAUCUGUCCAGUCUCUGGCUUCCCAUCCAUUGUGGAUGGCGACUCAAUCACUGGCAAAGGAACUGCAGGACCUGAGAACCCAACUACAUGAACAUGACACUGAGCUGGAGCAGAGAGACAAACAGCUAGAGAAGACAGAUGAACAGCUGGAGGAGAGAAACAAACGACUGGAGAAGAGAGACCAACAGCUGGAGGAGAGGAACAAACAGCUGGAGGAGACAGACAAACAGCUGAAGGAGAGAAACAAACAGCUGGAGGAAACACAAAAACAGCUGAAGGAGAAAGACCAACAGCUGGAGGAGAGAAACAAACAGCUGGAGGAGAGAGACAAACAGCUGGUGGUAGAGAGACAAAGAUGAUCCAGAUCCUCCUCCCAUCAGGAGAAGACGGAGUAGGGGGGAGCCUCCAGUCAUGGGAGGAGAGAGUCCUGGUCCAGCUCUACCAGUGUCUCCUGCUGUGUCUGAGCUAAGGCUGGUGCUGCUGGGGGGAAGCUAGCUGGGAAGAAGGCAGCAGGAAACACCAUCUUGGGCAAACACAUACUCACACACACAUCCGCAGAGACCCAGCAUAGUGAGAGCAGACGAGGGGAGGUGGCUGGGAGACGGGUGACCAUGGUGGACACUCCAGAGUAGGACAGAAUCAUCACUAACCAGUAUCGAAGGGUGGUGGGUUUUAUUCAUGGCAGAAUCUUACUAACAGCACAGUCUACUUAAAAGUUACCUUGAUUGGAUCCUUGGAAAACAGUUCCGGAAUCCCUCCUCUCAAAAACAACAUCCAGGAUUCUGAGGAUGAAAAAAUAAAAUAAAUAUAUAUACACACACACACAAACACACACACACACACAAUACAUAUACUGUAUGAGGAUUGAGAACUGCAAGCAGCUACUGGGAAAAUCAGAUGUUGGUCAGCUACAGUGAUUAUUUUCCAAUAAUUUAUCAGUGAGUAUCUGGACCACAGACAUGAAGAUAAUUCAGACGAUAUUGAUGAAAAUAUGAUUGUAAUGCUUGUGUGCCAUAUGUGUGUGUUGUAAUGCUUGUGUGCCAUAUAUUCUUUACAAUAACUUAAAACUAAUAUGGGAAUGUAAUGUUGUCUGUGCUGGUCAUGGUUAUAGACAGACAGACAUAUUAGUAAAUGGUGUAGUAUCUUGGGUGGUCAUCCAUUUCUGUGCAGUUAAAUGACUCAUUGUUGAGAUAUCCAGCACAAUCUUUA